rnacentral:precursor_RNA from 15 species
CCCGGCCCGGCUCUUCUGCGUGCCCCAGGCUGAGGUAGUAGGUUGUAUGGUUUAGAAUAACACCCGCAGGAGAUAACUGUACAGCCUCCUAGCUUUCCCUGGGGCGCUGCUUAGCCCCCGAGACGAGC